UGUCCCCCCCCUCCCGGCGGGCGGGGAGAGCGGGGAGAAGAUGGCGGCCAUUUUGUGCUUGCGCAGAGGCGAAGGUGGGAUAUGGAAACCAGAAGUGCUGUGAUAUCACUGGAAUUUUCUUCUCACCUCCCCUGUGAAAUCCCCAAACCUGCUGUAAGGGCGACCUGAGAAACGGAGCCAAAUGGAAAGUGGUUUUCUCAAAUCCUUCAGGUUACAAGCAGCUGGGAAACAGAUGAUCCUUGAAGUAAUUUUUAAACAAAUUACUCAUUGCUACAAGAUGAUGCUGACAAGUAAUAUGUGGAGAAGUGCAGCUAGCAGAGUUAUGAAAUAAGAAAGGCAUUUCUGCAGAAGAUAGAAGAUGGAGGAGGUAAAUUAGUUGCUACGUUGCUUUGAGAGGAUACUAAAUCUUAAAACACUUCUUACUCCUUAUUAGUAACACAAUGGCUCAAAAGGAGGGAGGAAGUAAGUGUGAAAACCACUGAGCUGCAGAAGAUCAACACUUCACUCUUCUCACUUUAUGAUUUGAUACGAGUAAUACCAGACACUUUCAUCAGAUGCAACUUCAAAGUUGCAAAACCACAACCAAAGUUAAAGAGUAGCCUCAUUGAAUGGGAGAGAGGGGAGCAAAUAUGAAUCAAGUUUCCAUUCAGAUUUCAUGUUCUCACUGACUUCACUGACCUCCAACUGACUCUGAGCAGCAAGAUCAGAACAAUCACUUUGUUCAUGGCGUGCAUGCAUAGGCUGCAGCCAAAAGAAAUCAUCAUUUUCAUGGUGCAGGAUGUAAGACCAUUAAAAUACCUUCAGUAAGCACCUCAGUUUAUCAUUUGCUCAGUCCUGUAGUCCAUGGAUAAGCACACUGAACAUUGGUCUAAACAAUCUCAAAAAAUAAAAUUUGCAUCAGAAUUAAACAAUCCAGCGAUUCUCUAAGAUUGACAAUUAUUGUAAUAGAUUCAACAACUGGCACUACUUCUAUUGGCAUAAACUGCCCAAAAUGCCAACCUUAUGUCCUAGUGAUCAGGUCUCAGAAAUGGAAAUGGAGGAUGGCCAAAAUCCACACUUUCUAAGAGCGUUUAUGUCUUGAUAUUUGUCCUCAAGAUCUGAGAGUUGUACUAGGACACCAAAGAAGUAAUGGUCAUACUGCACUGUCAUAGGCCACCAGGUCUCUGCUCCAGCCAAGAAUCCAUAAAAGCAGAUCUUGUAUGACAGAGCAGGGAUGAUAAAAACUGGAUGCUCUCUUGGAUAUAUGUUUGUUACUGGUAGAAGGUUGCAAGAUGUAUUUUACCUAAG